rnacentral:rRNA from 1 species
ACGUUUGUAGGUAAACAGGUGGACUACGAAGUUGCCUGAGGUAGGAUUCAACUGUUCAGACUGAGAAAGUUGCCUUUGUUAUAUUCGGUUCUCUUUAGAGGGCAGAUGUCGGUGAACUAAUGCAGCUGUCUGGCGGUGCAUUUCUUCAGUCUCGUGCUAAAGCCAUGACCGAUUAGGGAACUAGUGCGUCCGUAUGCGAUGGUCACAGGAAGGUAGCUGGAUGUGUUCUCGAAUGCAUGCUAGUGUUAUAGCCUGUGGCUAGUAGUAUUCUAGCACUUAGUAAGCUGAUCGGCUCAAGUUCUCCGCUUAUGCGGGGUUUGCAGUAAUGGGUGCCUACAGUUCUGUUGUCGAGAUUGUGCCUGUUUGGUCGAUCUUUCUGUGUUUUCACGGAAAGUCAGCCUCAUAGGUCGGUCUAUGCUGGCGGCAGUAUCUGUGCGUACUUGUGCAAUCGAUGGCUAGUAGGUCGGUAUCUACCUGACCCGCUUGAACACGCA